AAAAGAAAUGUAUUUCAGAUUUACCCGUAUUUUACUUCAGAGCUGUUUACGACAAAGGCGAUGUUGAGGCUAGAUCAGAAAUGCACAUGGCAAGCUGUUAUGCUGGUAUUGGGUUUGGUAAUAGUGGAACCCAUUUAUGGUAGGAAAAGAUCAAAUCAAAUAAAAAAAACUGGAACAAACUAUUCCAAAUAGAAUUUAACAAACAAUAAGUCAGAGUACAUUUAAAUGACCUAUUUACUUGAAAACCCACAUAAUGAACAACUGUUGGUGAUUGCAUGUAUUAAAGAACAUGUUUUAACGAAAAGCAUGGGUUUAACCACUUUUUAUUUUUGCAUGAGAGAUCAAUGAAAAGUUUGUCUCAUUUGUUUUCAAAUACAUAUAUUCUAACUUACCACAUAACACAAAUUAUUUAAAUUCUGUUUCAUAUUAAUGCAUAAAAAUCAUUGAUGAAACUUACUACAAAGUUGUAUUGUAAAACACAUAACAGAUUAAGAAAGAGUUAUCUCCCUUACAAGGUCUUCUGCCUUAAAUAUUGCUUCUUUGAAAUACUCAUUUACUACUUCUGAGCUGUUUGUUAUGAAUGUGUUGUGGAUGUUUGAUGCAAUGCUUCAAGCUUUCCUGCUGGUAUUUGACUUUUGGAUAACUCAUGCAUUUUACUGCUUACACUUUUAUAAAUCUACAAUAAUUAGCUGUUUGAAACUUUAUCCAUAAUAACAUAACUUAUUCCUUUGUUAAUUUGAUAUAUGAAGCUAUUUUCAAUUUAAUUAUGUUUUUGUAAAAUUGUGAAAUAAAUUUAUGAUAAAUACUCUUAAAAUUAACAGAUGACCAGAUUUGAGAAAUUUUUAUUCAAUCAUGAUAUGAUGCAUGAAAUUCAAUACGUUUGAGACCUGAUAAAUUGUUAAAAAAACUUAACUUUAUCAACCUGUAAUUUUAUUGCUUCAUUUAAAGUUUUUUCAUUUGAUUUCAUUCUUUUUGAUUAUUCAGCAGUCCACUUAUAACCUUGAAAUCAAGAUAUUUAUAUAUUUUUUAUUUCAGCCAUGGUAUGUCAUAUCCAAUCUCAGGACUGGUUAAGAAUUUCAAAUCCAAAGAUUAUGAUGAUGAUCAUCCUAUGGUGGUA
rnacentral:lncRNA from 1 species